rnacentral:rRNA from 1 species
GACGAACGCUGGCGGCGUGCUUAACACAUGCAAGUCGAACGGAAAGGCCCCUUUGGGGGUACUCGAGUGGCGAACGGGUGAGUAACACGUGAGUAACCUGCCCUUGACUUCGGGAUAACUUCAGGAAACUGGGGCUAAUACCGGAUAGGAAUCCUUGCUGCAUGGUGGGGGUUGGAAAGCUUCGGCGGUUUUGGAUGGACUCGCGGCUUAUCAGCUUGUUGGUGGGGUAGUGGCUUACCAAGGCUUUGACGGGUAGCCGGCCUGAGAGGGCGACCGGCCACAUUGGGACUGAGAUACGGCCCAGACUCCUACGGGAGGCAGCAGUGGGGAUAUUGCACAAGGGGCGGAAGCCUGAUGCAGCAACGCCGCGUGCGGGAUGACGGCCUUCGGGUUGUAAACCGCUUUCAGCAGGGGCGAAGCUUGUGGUGACGGUACCUGCAGAAGAAGCACCGGCUAACUACGUG